rnacentral:rRNA from 1 species
UACGUAGGGCGCAAGCGUUAUCCGGAAUUAUUGGGCGUAAAGAGCUCGUAGGCGGUUUGUCGCGUCUGCCGUGAAAGUCCGGGCUCAACUCCGGAUCUGCGGUGGGUACGGGCAGACUAGAGUGAUGUAGGGGAGACUGGAAUUCCUGGUGUAGCGGUGAAAUGCGCAGAUAUCAGGAGGAACACCGAUGGCGAAGGCAGGUCUCUGGGCAUUAACUGACGCUGAGGAGCGAAAGCAUGGGGAGCGAACAGG